rnacentral:rRNA from 1 species
CCCACAACGUGAAUCGAGUGCAACUCCCAACCAUUGUGAACCUUACCUUCAACCGUUGCUGUCGGCGGGCGGGCCACAGCGCCCCCCCGGCCCCCCCAGCGGGGCGCCCGCCGGAGGAUACCCAAACUCUUGAUACUUUAUGGCCUCUCUGAGUCUCCUGUACUGAAUAAGUCAAAACUUUCAACAACGGAUCUCUUGGUUCUGGCAUCGAUGAAGAACGCAGCGAAAUGCGAUAAGUAAUGUGAAUUGCAGAAUUCAGUGAAUCAUCGAAUCUUUGAACGCACAUUGCGCCCGCCAGUAUUCUGGCGGGCAUGCCUGUUCGAGCGUCAUUUCAACCAUCAAGCCCCCGGGCUUGUGUUGGGGACCUGCGGCUGCCCGCAGGCCCUGAAAACCAGUGGCGGGCUCGCUGUCACACCGAGCGUAGUAGCAUCAUCUCGCUCAGGGCGUGCUGCGGGUUCCGGCCGUUAAAAGCCUCUAAUACCCCAAGGUUGACCUCGGAUCAGGUAGGAAGACCCGCUGAACUUAAGCAUAUCAAUAAGCCGGAGGGAA